GAUGAACGCUGGCGGCGUGCCUAAUACAUGCAAGUAGAACGCUGAAGGAGGAGCUUGCUCUUCUGGAUGAGUUGCGAACGGGUGAGUAACGCGUAGGUAACCUGCCUGGUAGCGGGGGAUAACUAUUGGAAACGAUAGCUAAUACCGCAUGACAACAGUUAUUGCAUGAUAACUGUUUAAAAGGGGCAACUGCUCCACUACCAGAUGGACCUGCGUUGUAUUAGCUAGUUGGUGAGGUAACGGCUCACCAAGGCGACGAUACAUAGCCGACCUGAGAGGGGGAUCGGCCAAAAUGGGACUGAGACACGGCCCAGACUCCUACGGGAGGCAGCAGUAGGGAAUCUUCGGCAAUGGACGGAAGUCUGACCGAGAAACGCCGCGUGAGUGAAGAAGGUUUUCGGAUCGUAAAGCUCUGUUGUAAGAGAAGAACGAGUGUGAGAGUGGAAAGUUCACACUGUGACGGUAUCUUACCAGAAAGGGACGGCUAACUACGUG
rnacentral:rRNA from 1 species